rnacentral:rRNA from 1 species
CAUGCAAGUCGAGCGGAUGAAGGGAGCUUGCUCCUGGAUUCAGCGGCGGACGGGUGAGUAAUGCCUAGGAAUCUGCCUGGUAGUGGGGGAUAACGUCCGGAAACGGGCGCUAAUACCGCAUACGUCCUGAGGGAGAAAGUGGGGGAUCUUCGGACCUCACGCUAUCAGAUGAGCCUAGGUCGGAUUAGCUAGUUGGUGGGGUAAAGGCCUACCAAGGCGACGAUCCGUAACUGGUCUGAGAGGAUGAUCAGUCACACUGGAACUGAGACACGGUCCAGACUCCUACGGGAGGCAGCAGUGGGGAAUAUUGGACAAUGGGCGAAAGCCUGAUCCAGCCAUGCCGCGUGUGUGAAGAAGGUCUUCGGAUUGUAAAGCACUUUAAGUUGGGAGGAAGGGCAGUAAGUUAAUACCUUGCUGUUU